UACGUAGGAGGCGAGCGUUGUCCGGAAUUACUGGGCGUAAAGCGCGCGUAGGCGGCGCGAUACGAGCGGUGUGAAAUCCCCGGGCUCAACCUGGGAACUGCAUCUGUGACUGCAUCGCUGGAGUGCGGCAGAGGGGGAUGGAAUUCCGCGUGUAGCAGUGAAAUGCGUAGAUAUGCGGAGGAACACCGAUGGCGAAGGCAAUCCCCUGGGCCUGCACUGACGCUCAUGCACGAAAGCGUGGGGAGCAAACAGG
rnacentral:rRNA from 1 species